CGGGGCCGGGCCCGGCUCUGCGCGGUGUCAGGGCCGCAGCCGUGCUUGCUCGUUUGCUUUAUCGCACACACUGGCAAAGAACUGUUAUUCCUUCCUCAUCUCUUUGCCUGAGAGCCCCUUAAUGUCAGAAUUAUAAUAAUUUGGAGAAAAGGGGUUUCCAUUUUCCAUUCCAAGGCAGGCUCCUGCCUUCCUUAGCAGACACCUGUCUUUCAAACCAAGACGAAGUAUAAAUCAAGGCUUUGUUCAUUCUGGAUUAGGAGACUUAUAGAAAGGUCCAGCAAUGGCAGCAGCCUUAACCCCUGGGAAAUCAAGGAGAACAUUUACUGCCAAAUACAGAAAAGGGAGACAGGGAGUCUUAACAGCAGAUAUGAAUGAGUUGCCAGGUAUAGUGGUGAUUUCUGUACAAGAUAAUCAAUAUAGAUCAGUAUACUUUUUUAUCUCAUUUACAGUAAGUUAUUUUGACAGAACUGGAACCCAUCUCAUCUAGCAUAGAUGUCUACAAAGCAUACCGAUUACCUAGUUACUUAGUCAAAAUCAGCAGUGAGAGCCAAAUGACACUUUUGUACUGCCCUUUGAAUGUGAUUUCUUCCUUCCAUCUUUGUCAUGACUUCUUCACAUAUGAUACAGUUUCUUUCUUUCAUAUGACUAAAAAGGGACUUAGCUAGCCCAGAUGCAAAUGUCUAAAUUUCAGAUUUUUAAUUUCAUAGAGAUAAAUCCCAAUUUUCCAGUCUGCGGAAGACAGAAGUUAAUCAUAUGUCUCAAAAGUAAGUAAUAUUUGCAAACAAAUGGAACAAUGUAAUUCUCCCUUCUCUUGCUGAAAUCUAUAAUUUUAUUUCUAAUUCCAAAAGUAUUUGAGCUUCAAAUUGAUAUUUUCUUAUUAGUAUUUCAUACACAUCAUCUAAUUUCUACCAUAAUUAGUAAUACUGAAGAAACCAACUUUGCCCCUCCCCUUAAAUUUUUCAGCUAAUUGUAGAAUAUCCAUAUUGAGCACAUCCAGUCUAAUAUACGUCAGGAUGUAGGAGAAUGCUGCAGGUGAACUAAACUAGUGUUUUGGGCUCCCUGUAUGCAACUCAGUUUGUCUAGAACAUCAUUUUAAUAGUGCAUGUUCCCUUCAAAAGGUUUUACGCUUGCUGUCUUGUUGAAAACCUUUGCUCCAGGCCUUCUUUAAUAACAAGAUAUUCUGUUUUCUCUCCAGGUGGGGUUUCUCAGGUUAUAUGGCAUCUGAGUAACAGUAUUUUUUUGUAUCCUGUUUAACCACGUACUUUAUGAGACUUUUGUUUUGUUCUUUAGAAUUUUCUAUAAAGGUAUUCUUUCACAAUAACUCUGAACAGAUCAAGCAGAUACAGAUGGGGAUUUCUUCCAGCAAAUAUUAUAAGUAAUUGGAAAAAAAAAAAUAAAAUCUUAUUUUUAGAAACAACUAAGGUUUUGAAAACACUUUCGACUUAGAUUUAGAAGAGGACAGAGGAACACCUGAAGAAGUGAAAGAUCUUCAGCUGUUGGCUGAAAAAAAUUAUAUUAAGUAAUAAAAAUUAAUUCAAAUAUUCCAACAUGCUGUUUCUAAUCUACUUUUCCCUCAAGACCCCAUAUGCAAAUAUCAAAUAAUAUCAUAGAAACCAAUAGGCACUCUAACAGCAAGGAACAAGUGAUAACUUAUUCUUGAGCACAACUAAAUAACAAGAUCUCCUUAAGGAAAAGUUAUUAGACCUGCUACCCAGCUGGAUAGAUUUUCUAACCAUACUUUUUCUCUAUCCUUUGAGACUUAAGGCCCUAGAGGCACUUUUCUUUAUUUGUUUAUUAAGUGAGUAUGAUAUUUAAAUAAUAAUUCUCUUGUUCUUAAUCUACUUAAAAUGAAAUUUCCAGGAUUUCAAUCACUUUUCAAAUUAUUGCACUAAAAAUGCUCAUUAAGUAGAUUACAGACAGUAUAGAUAUUACCUCAGGUCCACACAAUAUUUUGGUUCCUAAAAAAUUGCAUAGGAAUUUUUAGUAAACACUUAAAACUUUCUUCUGAAAAGCAAAAUAAUUGGACACCAAUCCUCCACUGUGUUUCACAGAUUUAACUCAAGGUUACUGGCCUCAACUUCAACUGAUAAUAGAUGACCUACAGAGUAUUCUAUAUUCUGCAGAGUAUAAAAUUAGCCUGUAAUGGGAUACUAGUGCAUAUAUAAAACACAAACAUAUGACAAAUAAGUAAGAAUGAUAAAAUACAGAUAUACACAACAUUGCAAAGGUAAAAUUUCAGCAAAUCACAGCUGGCCAAACCCUAGCAGUAAAGAUACAUCACUUUUUAAAAACAAAUAGAGCAAAACAUUUUGGUCUUGACAGCAUGCUGUUUCUCCUAUAUGUUUUAUGUUAUUUCUCAAAUUUAGAAAGACAGCCCUUGUUAUAUUUAAUAUAUAUCAGUAUACUGAGGAGGACAACUCUUCUUCAGUUUUUAAUCUAGUCACACAUAGGCCCUGACUGCCAAAAUUACAAAUUACAAAGAAAUUUUAUACUUAAGAAUUACUACUUAACAGUGCAAACAUUUAACAGUGCAAAAUACAAGAAACUGUACAGAAACUCAUCAUAA